UGGGGAAUAUUGCACAAUGGGCGAAAGCCUGAUGCAGCGACGCCGCGUGAGGGAUGACGGCCUUCGGGUUGUAAACCUCUUUCAGCAGGGAAGAAGCGAAAGUGACGGUACCUGCAGAAGAAGCGCCGGCUAACUACGUGCCAGCAGCCGCGGUAAUACGUAGGGCGCAAGCGUUGUCCGGAAUUAUUGGGCGUAAAGAGCUCGUAGGCGGUUAGUCGCGUCUGCUGUGAAAACUCGAGGCUCAACCUCGGGCUUGCAGUGGGUACGGGCUGACUAGAGUGCGGUAGGGGUGACUGGAAUUCCUGGUGUAGCGGUGGAAUGCGCAGAUAUCAGGAGGAACACCGAUGGCGAAGGCAGGUCACUGGGCCGCAACUGACGCUGAGGAGCGAAAGCAUGGGGAGCGAACAGGAUUAGAUACCCUGGUAGUCCAUGCCGUAAACGUUGGGCACUAGGUGUGGGGUCCAUUCCACGGAUUCCGUGCCGCAGCAAACGCAUUAAGUGCCCCGCCUGGGGAGUACGGCCGCAAGGCUAAAACUUAAAUGAAUUGACGGGGUCAUAGCUGUUUCCU
rnacentral:rRNA from 1 species